UGCUGCUCUCUGAGGCUGUGGGUGCUU
rnacentral:piRNA from 1 species